ACUCUUCAAAUUUUAAUUGAUCCCGUAUAUAACUAAAUUGCUGUUUACAGCUAUGGCAAUAAACGGAUUAUGUAAUAANCUUAUCGGACCCGGGGGCGGUACCCGGCACCUCCACCACAAANAUGGGGGUGAAAUAGGAUCGACGAAAGUGUAAAGAUUCUCUUUUUGCUCGGCAUUGUNCCGCCGUUAUCGGGCUAAUUUAUAGUUGCAAAUGACGACUAUGCAGAGCUACCUCUCGCUGCUUAAGCGCGAGCGCUCAAAUUAACUCCUAAUUAGUUGCAUAAUUAGGCGGGGCUUGAGAAGCGCCUGGCAACAGAAGCUUCUCGCU
rnacentral:tmRNA from 1 species